ACAGAAAGCUUUAUUAUAUUCAUGGGGAAUUUCAUGAGAAUCCCAAGAAGAGGAGAAAAAGACUUCUAGGAAACGAGUUCUGGAAUUUGAUCAUAAUAUGACUGUGAGUUUUCAUUUUGGGAUCUCUUUCAAGAGGUGAUUGGUAAGAAGUAAAGUUAUGAUGGCGGUAUAGAAGGAGCAGAAGUUUAGACCUCUGAAAACUCUUCCUUACCGAUCACAAACUGAAUGCUCCUAGGGGACUGAAAAUCAAACCUAACAAUAAGACAGAGCCAAGGAACCCUCCUGCUGGACUCAACUCAAAAGACUGCACCAAGAGAUCUUCUAUCAAAGCUCCAAGAGGGGAGACUAACAGAAGCCCCCAAAACCAAAAAAAUGAGAGGAGCAAAGAAGAGGCUAGGAGCUCCUUCUCCUGAGGUUCCUCAUUGCUAAUCAGUUGAUUAGGUAAGCCUGGCCUGUCUCUCAAUCCACUGAGCCACCUCCUUAAAGUAAAAGGAGAUGGAAAUGAGACAAAGGGGAGAAAAAAAAUCCUGUUGACCCCAAUUUAACUUAAGGAGAAAGGGGAAGAGAGAAAAGGUGUUUUAUACUCACCUGCUCUGGCAGCUGUGUCUUUAAGCCAAGGUAUUUGGUAAAAGAACUGACGGAGUGAGUAAUAAGUGGGGUGAAAGGGCAAGAAAAUUCAGGAAAUUUAUUGAGGUUCUAGAAACCUUCGAAGCACUAAAGCAGGGCCAAGAGCCGGAGGGGGUAGCCGGGGUGGGACCUCUCCCAAGUGAUUAGUAUGGAGAUCAGAAAGGAAGAUCAGAAGAUUGAUAUAGUUCUUUUUCCCGAAGUGGUUACGCCAACUGUAAUGGUGAAAAUUUCACCUUUUUUAA
rnacentral:lncRNA from 1 species